CUGCAUGGCUGCGCAAACAUUAGCUCGGGUUUGCUGCUUCCCAUCUACCUAUUCUGCCUACGAUUGUUUGCAAAUGUGCCGGAACUUCAAGUAUUUUAUACGUAUGUACACGACUCAUUUUGUCAAAGUCGUAAUAAACAUUACACUUUAUAGCAGAUGAAUGCCAGCCGUCUUGACUGCAGCAAAAUUGUUCAAGUCGACGAUUAAUCUUCGUGUUGGUUUGUUGCAGUAGGGAGAAAGGCGCGUCGUGGAAUCAAGAAGCAGUUAAAGAAAGAUGGAUUGGACAAAAUGUAUUCCGUUCUGUGCGACCGUACUGACUAUGCAGUUAUUGUUGAUCAUCAGCAGCACAGCGUCGGCUCCUUUGGUUGUUAGCGCCAAGCACUCCUCCGGGUCCUCACCAACUGACGCUGGCGCUAUGGGUAGCUUGAUCAUGGAGGACUGCUUUAAGCCGUUCUGGGACUGCAUCGCGCGUGGCACUUUGAUGAAUCAAAGUAGCAUGUCCAGUAACACCACAAGCAUGAUAAACGAAGUUGUGGAAAAAUUCAAGAGCUCCGUGGCUUGCUCCACUCCGUAUCUGGAGUGCAUGACGCGUGUAGUCAAUCCCGAUGACAACGCACCUUCUGGAAAUGGUGGCCGCACCACCGCCGGCACUAUGACGGAGGGGCAUUCAGAGAACUGACCCCAAUCGAACAGUUUCAAAAUCCACAGGCUUUGGUUAUAUUUAGGUUUAUUCUGUAGCUUCCGAAAUUACCCGUAAAAGUUUGGCUUUUCUGUAUUUGUAGCUAAUUAAUCGGGUGUUCUUAUGAAAAGCUCGAUUAAAUUAUUAACCAAGGAUAUGAAAAGCGCUGGUGAUGUAACUGUUUUAAGCAGCUCAUGGCUGCCAUAUAUGGUAAUGAUCACAAUAAUUAAAUGUCGCGGCAGCGUGUAAAACAA